CAAGAAUCCUAGUUAAAUUUGAAUUUCAGAUAACAACAGAUAUCUUUUAGUGUUAGUAUCUUCCAUGCAAUAUUUGGGAUAUACUUACGCUAAACAAAAUACUUACUUAUCUGAAUUUCAAAUUUAAUUGGGUAUCUUG
rnacentral:miRNA from 14 species